UACUCACUGGUAACAACAGACAGUUCAACCAGAGCAUCUGGACCUUGUUGUUGUCCUGAUCUGUCAAACUGUCUGCAGGUGUAACGACCAACAUCCUCAACUGUGACCUUCUUUAUAACCAGAGAACAGUUCUCUGUGAGACUCAGUCUGUCUGAUUUAGAUUUGGCUUCUUCCUGAAUCUUCCCAUGUUCAAACAGAGUUACUGCUGCUCUGCUUCCUGAACCACUGAAGAUCCAGGUAGUUCCGUUACAUUGAUCCUGAUCUUUUAUCACAUGUCCACAGGACAAAGUGACUUCAUCUCCAGCUCUGACAGUGAUGGAGGAAGUUUUUACUGCUGUUGA